rnacentral:rRNA from 1 species
UGGGGGAUAUUGCACAAUGGGCGAAAGCCUGAUGCAGCGACGCCGCGUGGGGGAUGAAGGCUUUCGGGUUGUAAACCUCUUUCGCUAUCGAACAAGGCCCGCUUAGGGUGGGUUGAGGGUAGGUGGAGAAGAAGCGCCGGCUAACUACGUGCCAGCAGCCGCGGUAAUACGUAGGGCGCGAGCGUUGUCCGGAAUUAUUGGGCGUAAAGGGCUUGUAGGCGGCUUGUUGCGCCUGCUGUGAAAACGCGGGGCUUAACUUCGCGCGUGCAGUGGGUACGGGCAGUCUUGAGUGUGGUAGGGGUGACUAGAAUUCCAGGUGUAGCGGUGGAAUGCGCAGAUAUCUGGAGGAACACCGAUGGCGAAGGCAGGUCACUGGGCCAUUACUGACGCUGAGGAGCGAAAGCAUGGGUAGCGAACAGG